AGACGACGAGGUUGAUAGGGCAGGGGUGGAAGUGCUGUAAGGCAUGGAGCUGACUGCUACUAAUCGGUCGAGGGCUUGACCAA
rnacentral:ncRNA from 2 species